GUGCCAGCAGCCGCGGUAAUACGUAGGGUGCGAGCGUUAAUCGGAAUUACUGGGCGUAAAGAGUGCGUAGGCGGUUCUUUGUGUCCGCUGUGAAAGCCCCGGGCUUAACCUGGGAAUGGCAGUGGAAACUAGAGAACUUGAAUCUGGCAGAGGGGGGUGGAAUGCCACGUGUAGCAGUGAAAUGCGUAGAUAUGUGGCGGAACACCGAUGGCGAAGGCAGCCCCCUGGGCUGAGAUUGACGCUCAGGCACGAAAGCGUGGGGAGCAAACAGGAUUAGAUACCCUGGUAGUCC
rnacentral:rRNA from 1 species